ensembl:misc_RNA 7SK 7SK RNA
GAAAAGCUUCCACAUAGAUUCCUAUUGUUCUGAUUACCAAUGUUGACUUGGCUGUUAAAGCUAGCUAAGUGGGCGUCCCCUUCCUCUCUUUGAAUUCCAUGUGCAUCCCUCCUGAGUCUACACACUUUAUCAGAAAGUCAGAGAUUCCUUGAAUAGAGGAGGGCUAUGUUUUCAGUUGAGAGGACAUAAAUUACUCCUCUCCCUUCCUAGAAUCUCUAAAUUCUCCCAAAUGAAAAUCCCAGAGGCUAGGAAGCAGGUUACUCAAAUCUCUACAAUCAAUUUGUGAGAGAAUAAUU